UCCUGAUCCUACUGAAUUCCCUUUUUCAGU
rnacentral:piRNA from 1 species